GUUGUCGUCAGCUCGUGUCGUGAGAUGUUGGGUUAAGUCCCGCAACGAGCGCAACCCUUGUCAUUAGUUGCCAUCAUUUGGUUGGGCACUCUAAUGAGACUGCCGGUGACAAACCGGAGGAAGGUGGGGAUGACGUCAAGUCCUCAUGGCCCUUAUGGGUAGGGCUUCACACGUCAUACAAUGGUCGGUACAGAGGGUUGCCAACCCGCGAGGGGGAGCUAAUCCCACAAAGCCGAUCGUAGUCCGGAUCGCAGUCUGCAACUCGACUGCGUGAAGUCGGAAUCGCUAGUAAUCGUGGAUCAGCAUGUCACGGUGAAUACGUUCCCGGGUCUU
rnacentral:rRNA from 1 species